CCUACGGGAGGCAGCAGUGGGGGAUAUUGCGCAAUGGGCGAAACCCUGAUGCAGCGACGCCGCGUGGGCGAAGAAGUAUUUCGGUAUGUAAAGCCCUAUCCGCAGGGACGAAGAAAUGACGGUACCUGAGUAAGAAGCACCGGCUAAAUACGUUACAGCAGCCGCGGUAAUACGUAGGGUGCAAGCGUUAUCCGGAUUUACUGGGUGUAAAGGGAGGGCAGGCGGCAAGGCAAGCCUGAUGUGAAAGCCCGCGGCCCAACCGCGGGACUGCAUUGGGAACUACCGGGCUGGAGUGCCGGAGAGGUAGGCGGAAUUCCUAGUGUAGCGGUGAAAUGCGUAGAUAUUAGGAGGAACCCCGAUUGCGAAGGCAGCCUUCCGGCGCCCUACUGACGCUGAGGCACGAAAGUGCGGGGAUCGAACAGGAUUAGAUACCCUUGUAGUC
rnacentral:rRNA from 1 species